rnacentral:sRNA from 1 species
UUAGUCAAUGUUCUGGCUCCAUAAGCUAC